rnacentral:pre_miRNA from 1 species
ACAACAUCGGGCCGUCGGUCUACCGAGCAAUAUCACCCGCUCGGUUGAAGAUAUUCCUGUAGA